rnacentral:rRNA from 1 species
AUUGAACGCUGGCGGCAGGCCUAACACAUGCAAGUCGAACGAGUGGCGGACGGGUGAGUAAUGUCUGGGAAACUGCCCGAUGGAGGGGGAUAACUACUGGAAACGGUAGCUAAUACCGCAUACCAUCGGAUGUGCCCAGAUGGGAUUAGCUAGUAGGUGGGGUAAAGGCUCACCUGGGAGACGAUCCUUAGCUGGUAUGAGAGGAGUACCAGCCCCCCUGGAACGUAGACACGGUCCAGACUCCUACGGGCGGCAGCAGUGUGGAAUAUUGCACACUGUGCGCAAGCCUGAUGCAGCCAGGCCGCGUGUAUGAAGAAGGCCUUCGGGUUGUAAAGUACUUUCAGCUGGGAGGCGUUACCCGCAGAAGAAGCACCGGCUAACUCCGUGCCAGCAGCCGCGGUAAUUC